CCCUUAGAUGUUCGGGGCCGCACGCGUGCUACACUGAGUGGAUCAGCGGGUCAGGUUGCGCGAAAGCGUUUCCUAAUCUUUAAAUCCGCUCGUGAUGGGGAUUGACGGUUGCAAUUUUCUGUCAUGAACGAGGAAUACCUUGUAAGCGCGGGUCAUCAUCCCGCGCUGAAUACGUCCCUGCCCUUUGUACACACCGCCCGUCGCUCCUACCGAUUGAGUGGUCCGGUGAGGCUUUGGGAUCUGAGCGGAAAGAGCGUUUCGCUGUUUCUGCUCGGAAAACUCAGUCGAACCUUAUCAUUUAGAGGAAGGAGAAGUCGUAACA
rnacentral:rRNA from 1 species